UUAUUUUCUUUUCGAGUACCUGCCACUUCGUUUCCUUAUUUAUUUUUAAUUAAAAUGAAAGAAUCAAAAAAU
rnacentral:ribozyme from 14 species